rnacentral:rRNA from 1 species
CCUACGGGAGGCUGCAGUCGAGAAUCAUUCACAAUGGGGGAAACCCUGAUGGUGCGACGCCGCGUGGGGGAAUGAAGGUCUUCGGAUUGUAAACCCCUGUCAUGUGGGAGCAAAUUAAAAAGAUAGUACCACAAGAGGAAGAGACGGCUAACUCUGUGCCAGCAGCCGCGGUAAUACAGAGGUCUCAAGCGUUGUUCGGAAUCACUGGGUGUAAAGCGUGCGUAGGCUGUUUCGUAAGUCGUGUGUGAAAGGCGCGGGCUCAACCCGCGGACGGCACAUGAUACUGCGAGACUAGAGUAAUGGAGGGGGAACCGGAAUUCUCGGUGUAGCAGUGAAAUGCGUAGAUAUCGAGAGGAACACUCGUGGCGAAGGCGGGUUCCUAGACAUUAACUGACGCUGAGGCACGAAGGCCAGGGGAGCGAAAGGGAUUAGAUACCCUGGUAGUC